GAUGAACGCUAGCGGCAGGCCUAAUACAUGCAAGUCGAACGGUGUAGCAAUACACAGUGGCGCACGGGUGCGUAACACGUAUGCAACCUACCUUACAUUGGGGGAUAGCCUUUCGAAAGGGAGAUUAAUACCGCAUAAGACAGUAACUAGGCAUCUAGUAGCUGUUAAAGAUUUAUCUAUGUAUGCUGGGCAUGCGUCCAAUUAGUUAGUUGGCGAGGUAAUCGCUCACCAAGACGAUGAUUGGUAGGGGAACUGAGAGGUCAAUCCCCCACACUGGCACUGAGAUACGGGCCAGACUCCUACGGGAGGCAGCAGUAGGGAAUAUUGGGCAAUGGGCGCAAGCCUGACCCAGCCAUGCCGCGUGCAGGAAGAAGGCGUUAUGCGUUGUAAACUGCUUUUAUACAGGAAGAAACGACCCUUGCGAGGGGCAUUGACGGUACUGUAUGAAUAAGCACCGGCUAACUCCGUGCCAGCCGCCGCGGUAAAAC
rnacentral:rRNA from 1 species